rnacentral:rRNA from 1 species
GGCAGUCAGAGGCGAUGAAGGGCGUACUAAUCUGCGAUAAGCGCCGGUAAGGUGAUAUGAACCGUUAUAACCGGCGAUACCCGAAUGGGGAAACCCAGUGUGAUUCGUCACACUAUCAUUAACUGAAUCCAUAGGUUAAUGAGGCGAACCGGGGGAACUGAAACAUCUAAGUACCCCGAGGAAAAGAAAUCAACCGAGAUUCCCCCAGUAGCGGCGAGCGAACGGGGAGGAGCCCAGAGCCUGAAUCAGCAUGUGUGUUAGUGGAAGCGUCUGGAAAGGCGCGCGAUACAGGGUGACAGCCCCGUACACAAAAGCGCAUGUGCUGUGAGCUCGAUGAGUAGGGCGGGACACGUGGUAUCCUGUCUGAAUAUGGGGGGACCAUCCUCCAAGGCUAAAUACUCCUGACUGACCGAUAGUGAACCAGUACCGUGAGGGAAAGGCGAAAAGAACCCCGGCGAGGGGAGUGAAAAAGAACCUGAAACCGUGUACGUACAAGCAGUGGGAGCACCCUUUGGGUGUGACUGCGUACCUUUUGUAUAAUGGGUCAGCGACUUAUAUUCUGUAGCAAGGUUAACCGAAUAGGGGAGCCGGAGGGAAACCGAGUCUUAAUUGGGCGUUAAGUUGCAGGGUAUAGACCCGAAACCCGGUGAUCUAGCCAUGGGCAGGUUGAAGGUUGGGUAACACUAACUGGAGGACCGAACCGACUAAUGUUGAAAAAUUAGCGGAUGACCUGUGGCUGGGGGUGAAAGGCCAAUCAAACCGGGAGAUAGCUGGUUCUCCCCGAAAGCUAUUUAGGUAGCGCCUCGUGAAUUCAUCUCCGGGGGUAGAGCACUGUUUCGGCUAGGGGGCCAUCCCGGCUUACCAACCCGAUGCAAACUGCGAAUACCGGAGAAUGUUAUCACGGGAGACACACGGCGGGUGCUAACGUCCGUCGUGAAGAGGGAAACAACCCAGACCGCCAGCUAAGGUCCCAAAGUCAUGGUUAAGUGGGAAACGAUGUGGGAAGGCCCAGACAGCCAGGAUGUUGGCUUAGAAGCAGCCAUCAUUUAAAGAAAGCGUAAUAGCUCACUGGUCGAGUCGGCCUGCGCGGAAGAUGUAACGGGGCUAAACCAUG